GUCAGCACAUGGGCAUACUGGAUGUUGUAAACCAAAUCACCAGGGAACUAGAGAAGAACAAGAAAGAACAAGAAGAAGCUGCACCCACAGUUGAGAUCAGCUCAUCUGAGGAGAACGCAGUAGCCCAGAAAGAGGCUGUAGAAGAGCAGAUGACAGAAAAAGGAGAAAAUUGUAAGGACAGAGGAGAAGAGUUAUGUGUAGCCUUGUUGGAGGAGAUAUUGUUGAACUUGGAGUCAUUAAAGAAGGAUUUGAGAGAGGAGCUCGCUCAGCUUCGCCGUGAGAUGCAAAGCUACACAGACCAGGUGCUCUGUGGCCUGGAGACCCGCCUAACUAACUUACUGAGAAUACAAGCGCUGGCUCACACAACUCCCUCUGCACUUCCAAGAAAAAACACAGUCGAAUCCAUGGAGACCAAGAAGCAUAGACCUCCCAGCAUGCCUCCUCUGGGAACAUCUAGAAGACUCAGCCGCACAAUGACCACUAUCACCCCUAAAACUUGCCUGCCUCUGUCCCUGGGGCCUCGCUCCAAUUCAGAGCCGCUGGGGGGCUGGGGGGCUGAGACCGCCACCAGCAACCGCGCUCAGAUGUUGCUGAGGAGAGACAAGGUGACUGUUCAUCCGCCUGGGCAUUUGCCUCCUGCUCUAUCUCCUGCACAGAAAGGCAAGAAGGCUUUACAAAGCAGGACUCGCAUUGGUAAGCCAACAUGCUAGUGAGGUAUGCCAUCGAAGCAUACACUAUUGUUCACAGGAAAAGAUCUUAAGCCAUCAGGGGAGGAACCAACUUUCAGAAUCAACAAUAGAGAUCGCAAUAUAUGAUUGUUCAGUAUGUACAGCUGCAAAGAGAGCUGAGGAGCAGAAGUGUUCUCUUCUGUGCUAUUUUGUGUUGUUUGUCCAUGAAACUAUUGAAGACCUCCAAGAAAAAUCCUAUUAAAGUACACUCAGAAAAAAAAGAUACAAUAAUAUGUGAAUAGUAUGUAUAAUGACAAAAUAUACAGGAUGAACUACAAAUUAAUUUCUCAAUCUGUUUAUAGUUUU
ensembl:lncRNA